GUUGCUUUUAUGUGAACACUACAAGGCUUCCCUCUCAUGGAGAGAAGUUCUAUAGCACUCUUCUGUAUGUAAUAUAACAUCUUUAGGUUAGAUUUGUAUUUAGCCUUUGAGUUCUGCAGUUUUCAUCCUCUUGGUCUUCCACUUCAACUUUCCUUUCUGCUGGACUUUUCUGUUCUGUCUCCUGCUUCAUUUUAACUGUGGGACAGCCUAUGGGGAAACAAAGGGCUCCUCCCCUUCUAAGGGCUUUUCCGAACCUGUUGUGAGUGACAUCGUCACACAUGAAAAGGAGGUGAGACUAAGAAAAGUGUCUCUUCUGAAGGAUGGACACACACACAGGUCGAAUUGAUUUACGACCCCCUCCCAUGGAAACCAGGUGUCUUCAACUCCCAACUCCUACAACCAUCGUCCUCUUUGUGUUCUG
rnacentral:lncRNA from 1 species